GACGAACGCUGGCGGCGUGCUUAACACAUGCAAGUCGAACGGAAAGGCCCUGCUUUUGUGGGGUGCUCGAGUGGCGAACGGGUGAGUAACACGUGAGUAGCCUGCCCUUGACUUUGGGAUAACUUCAGGAAACUGGGGCUAAUACCGGAUAGGAGCUCCUGCUGCAUGGUGGGGGUUGGAAAGUUUCGGCGGUUGGGGAUGGACUCGCGGCUUAUCAGCUUGUUGGUGGGGUAGUGGCUUACCAAGGCUUUGACGGGUAGCCGGCCUGAGAGGGUGACCGGCCACAUUGGGACUGAGAUACGGCCCAGACUCCUACGGGAGGCAGCAGUAGGGAAUAUUGCACAAUGGGCGGAAGCCUGAUGCGGCAACGCCGCGUGCGGGAUGACGGCCUUCGGGUUGUAAACCGCUUUCGCCUGUGACGAAGCGUGAGUGACGGUAAUGGGUAAAGAAGCACCGGCUAACUACGUG
rnacentral:rRNA from 1 species